GCAUAUCAAUAAGCGGAGGAAAAGAAACCAACAGGGAUUGCCCUAGUAACGGCGAGUGAAGCGGCAACAGCUCAAAUUUGAAAUCUGGCUCUUUCAGAGUCCGAGUUGUAAUUUGCAGAGGGCGCUUUGGCUUUGGCAGCGGUCCAAGUUCCUUGGAACAGGACGUCACAGAGGGUGAGAAUCCCGUACGUGGUCGCUAGCCUUUGCCGUGUAAAGCCCCUUCGACGAGUCGAGUUGUUUGGGAAUGCAGCUCUAAAUGGGAGGUAAAUUUCUUCUAAAGCUAAAUACUGGCCAGAGACCGAUAGCGCACAAGUAGAGUGAUCGAAAGAUGAAAAGCACUUUGGAAAGAGAGUCAAAUAGCACGUGAAAUUGUUGAAAGGGAAGCGCUUGCAGCCAGACUUGCCUGUAGUUGCUUAUCUGGACUUUUGUCCAGUGCACUCUUCUGCGGGCAGGCCAGCAUCAGUUUGGGCGGUUGGAUAAAGGUCUCUGUCAUGUACCUCCUUUCGGGGAGGCCUUAUAGGGGAGACGACAUGCAACCAGCCUGGACUGAGGUCCGCGCAUCUGCUAGGAUGCUGGCGUAAUGGCUGUAAGCGGCCCGUCUUGAAACACGGACCAAGGAGUCUAACAUCUAUGCGAGUGUUUGGGUGUCAAGCCCAGACGCGUAAUGAAAGUGAACGGAGGUGGGAACCUUUUAGGUGCACCAUCGACCGAUCCUGAUGUCUUCGGAAGGAUUUGAGUAAGAGCAUGGCUGUUGGGACCCGAAAGAUGGUGAACUAUGCUUGAAUAGGGUGAAGCCAGAGGAAACUCUGGUGGAGGCUCGCAGCGGUUCUGACGUGCAAAUCGAUCGUCAAAUUUGGGCAUAGGGGCGAAAGACUAAUCGAA
rnacentral:rRNA from 1 species